rnacentral:lncRNA from 1 species
ACAACACUUACUAUUUAGACCCACCGCUACCUAUACAUCUAUGUCCAUCUUGGUGCUUGUAUGAGAGCCAAACUAUCAUAUGUCUCUUGUUUUCUAUCCUCUACAUCAACAUUAGCUUGGCUAUAAAUCUAUUAUUAUACUUGCUCUAAGUAUAGGUACAUCCGUAGCUGUUAAUUUUAAGUUUGCAUGCUCAUCCAACAUAGCAUUUUCAUGUUGCUUGAGCAUAGAGUCAAGACAGGACUUAGUCUACAGUUUGAUCAAUGGGUGCAGUCUUUGAUUUAGUGCUUUUCUGCUUCACCUUUUUGCUUUUUUUUUUCGUUUCUUUCUUUGUUCCCUAAUUCUCCCUUUAGCUUUCUCUCUCUCUCUAAUGGUUCAUGACGUUGUUUUCCCGUUUUUUCAAUAAAUUUUAACCCGUCGACCGUGAGCCCUCCAGUUUCUAAAAAAACAAAUACUCUAUAUGUUCUCUCUAUAUGUUGUGCUAGAUAUGAAAAGAUAUACAGUAUACUCCAAGUACAUCACGAUUAAGUUUCGCGGGAAAGCGUUAUGGUUUAAGAUCACAUGUACGAGCAAAAAGCGACAACAUGUACGUGCAAAUAAACAAUAAAAUAUGCCCACAUAAGAUUCAUGUAAUUUCAAACUAGGCACUAUAAGCCAACUUCAUAUAUUCUUCCGAGCUUAAAACAAGUUUGGUGUCGAAAUCGAGUAUGAGGCGUGGUUGUAGGGGCAUUUGUGUUGCUAUAACAUAUAAUAAGAGGGUGUUUGCAUCGGUUUGGAUGUUAAAGUUUAACAGGUGUUGUAGCAUUUUUGUUUUAUUAUUUAGCAAUUAGUGUCCAAUUAUAUUUAAUAUUUCAUCCAUGUAUCUAAAUUCGAUGUGAUAUGCGGUAAAGUUUACCAAGCUAACCAUCUGCUAGCAAAUAAACACACACACAAAAGCAAAUCAUAUAACGUUCAAAUGAUUUCAAGCUAGACAACGCUAAGUAUAUAAAAGGUAGUGCAUGAUUUUGUGAAAAUCUAAAAGUAUUUUCAUAUAUUUUCUG